GCGAGUGGCGAACGGGUGAGUAAUGCAUCGGAACGUACCUUUCAGUGGGGGAUAACGUAGCGAAAGUUACGCUAAUACCGCAUAUUCUGUGAGCAGGAAAGCAGGGGAUCGCAAGACCUUGCGCUGAUGGAGCGGCCGAUGUCAGAUUAGCUAGUUGGUGUGGGUAACGGCCCACCAAGGCGACGAUCUGUAGCGGGUCUUAGAGGAUGAUCCGCCACACUGGAACUGAGACACGGUCCAGACUCCUACGGGAGGCAGCAGUGGGGAAUUUUGGGCAAUGGGCGCAAGCCUGAUCCAGCCAUGCCGCGUGAGUGAAGAAGGCCUUCGGGUUGUAAAGCUCUUUCGGCCGGGAAAAAAUCGCUUGGGUUAAUACCCUGAGUGGAUGAUGGUACCGGAAUAAGAAGCACCGGCUAACUACGUGCCAGCAGCCGCGGUAAUACGUAGGGUGCGAGCGUUAAUCGGAAUUACUGGGCGUAAAGCGUGCGCAGGCGGUUUUGUAAGACAGGCGUGAAAUCCCCGGGCUCAACCUGGGAACUGCGUUUGUGACUGCAAGGCUAGAGUAUGGCAGAGGGGGGUGGGAUUCCACGUGUAGCAGUGAAAUGCGUAGAGAUGUGGAGGAACACCAAUGGCGAAGGCAGCCCCCUGGGCCAAUACUGACGCUCAUGCACGAAAGCGUGGGGAGCAAACAGGAUUAGAUACCCUGGUAGUCCACGCCCUAAACGAUGUCAACUAGGUGUUGGGUGGGUAAAACCAUUUGGUACCGUAGCUAACGCGUGAAGUUGACCGCCUGGGGAGUACGGCCGCAAGGUUAAAACUCAAAGGAAUUGAUGGGGACCCGCACAAGCGGUGGAUGAUGUGGAUUAAUUCGAUGCAACGCGAAAAACCUUACCUACCCUUGACAUGCCAGGAACUUGCCAGAGAUGGCUUGGUGCCCGAAAGGGAGCCUGGACACAGGUGCUGCAUGGCUGUCGUCAGCUCGUGUCGUGAGAUGUUGGGUUAAGUCCCGCAACGAGCGCAACCCUUGUCGUUAAUUGUCAUCAUUUAGUUGGGCACUUUAACGAGACUGCCGGUCACAAACCGGAGGAAGGUGGGGAUGACGUCAAGUCCUCAUGGCCCUUAUGGGUAGGGCUUCACACGUCAUACAAUGGUCGGUACAAAGGGUUGCCAAGCCGCGAGGCGGAGCCAAUCCCAGAAAGCCGAUCGUAGUCCGGAUCGCAGGCUGCAACUCGCCUGCGUGAAGUCGGAAUCGCUAGUAAUCGUGGAUCAGCAUGUCACGGUGAAUACGUUCCCGGGUCUUGUACACACCGCCCGUCACACCAUGGGAGCGGGUUCCGCCAGAAGUAGGUAGCCUAACCGCAAGGAGGGCGCUUACCACGGCGGGGUUCGUGACUGGGGUGAAGUCGUAACAAGGUA
rnacentral:rRNA from 1 species